UCUCCUGCUUUGCAGAUAGAUUCUUUACUGUCUGAUCCACCAGGGAAGCCCUUCAUAGAGGAAGGUUCUGUAUAAAAUUCUUUGACUUCACAGGGAGAAUAAUGCUACAUAAAUGCAAGAAAUUACAAUUUUGCUGACAGAUCUAAACUGUCAUCCAGGUUUCAGUCUUCCUGGAUUAUGAAGAGAAAAGAAGCAGAAGUGACUAUUGAAAUAUUGCCUAGUGAUAAGACAUUAAAUUUGUGUGUCAUACAGUAAAUCUAGCUGUGACUUCUUGUUCUGCCACUUAUAAUUUUCAGGCCCCAGUUAACUUUUUGGUAAAAUUAGAGAACUGGCUUUGAUGACUUAUAGCAUCUCUUUCUGCUCAAAGAUGCUAUGAUCCUGGACACCGCUACACCUAAACAAAUUUUGCCAGAAUUUCAAAGUAACUUUCAUUUGCAUAGGCCCAUAGUUUCCAAAAUACUGAUCUUCAAUGAAGAGUAUUAUAGAAUGAGUUCUUAGGAAACAAAGAACAUUGUUUAUCUUUUAAAGUAUUUUAUUUUUCUAUUUUGGGUUUGUUUUUUUUUUUCCUUUGGAGUUAUACGGGUAUAUGUUAAGUGGGCCAAGAUUUUGUUUGCUUGUUUUGACUGCAUUGUAUGGCAUUGUGGGAUCUCAGUUCCCUGACCAGGAAUCGAACCCGUGUACCCCGCAGUGGAAGCACAGAGUCUUAACCACUGGACCUCCAGGGAAGUCCUGAAUAUUGUUUAUUGAUUACCCACUGUGCCAAACCCUUUCCAUAGAUUACUUCAUUUGGCUUUCACAAUAAUUCUUAGAGGUAGGCAAAAUAAUGGCCUCCCAAUGCUGUCCACUUCCUACUCCUUGGAGCCUCUGUAUAUGUUAGGUUACACAGUGAAGAGAUAUUCAGGUUGCCAGUGGAAUUAAGAUUGCUAAUCAGCUGAUCUUGAGAAUUUAUCUUGAGUUAUCCCACAGUAAUCACAAAGGCCUUUAUACGUCAACGAGUGAGAUGGAAGAGUCAGAAUCAGAGGAGAAGAUGUGAUAACAGAAGCAUAAGACUGGAGUGACACAAUCACGGGACUGAAAGGCAUAAAAGGGUCAUAGACCAAGGAAUGCAGGGCCUCUAGACAAGAAACGGAUUCUCUCCGCAAACCCCCAGAGGGAGCACAGCCUGCAGACACCCAGAUUUUAGCCCAGCGAGACUGAUUUUGGACUUCUGACCUCUACCACUAUAAGGUCAUGAGUCUGGGGAGUGCUGAAAACCAGAGUUUGAGAUGGAGGUGAUAGUGGGGCCGCCUCCCUGAGUUGUUAUGAGGAUUCGUGGAGCUAAUGUAUGAGAACUUCAUGACCAAGAAGGAAGUCCUGCUUUGAACUAAGCAGCACAGGGUUGAUUGCUAUGUGGUGGAUACUGGAGCUGGGGGUUGAGCAGUGAAUGCCAGUAUGAGGGAUGACAUCACCUGGCCCUUCAGGAUGGAAUUCUGGUGAGACAAGGUAGAUCCCCUGGAUGCCGCCAGCCUGGUCACUUCUUCACCGUACCACCUAACCUACCUCCCCAUCUGGGAAGCAGGAUAAGCCUAAACCUGAAAUAACUGAGGAAACCAGGAGCUGAGAUUUCAUUUCCUGCCAUGUGGCAGAACAAGGGUUCAACAGAAGCUUACUACCAAGUGGAAGUAAAGUGAAGUGAAAGUCACUCAGUCGUGUUCAACUCUUUGUGACCCCGUACGGUCCAUUGAA